UUAGUGUUCUUGACUGAAAGCAUGUGUAAGUGUGUCAGGUGACUGAAGUAUGUGACCCUGUCAGUGCAGCUGGACUGUAUAGUAGCCUCUGUGUGGCUGCUGCUGCUGGCUGUGCUGCUGGCUGCGGACAGCGUGUCCCUGACAGGGCGUUGGGUGGGAGUGGAUGCGCUGUCAUGUGACCGGUGAAGAAGGAGAGGCAGAACCAGAGCAGACACACUCCUUAUCCCGGACAGAAUAAAAAGUCAGGGCAAACAAGAAUAGUGACGGACAUUGGUUGGAAAUGUGAAAGAGGUCGUCGACGCUGCUGAACUUAGUCGUGUUUUGUCUCCAUCUGACAGCUGACUGCUGCUGUUCUCGGUUGUCUACGUCCGCAUUCCUCCGCAGUGAUUUCAACCGGCUGAGAUUACUUUAACAGAAACUAGUCCAGCUCAGUUAGUGCAACAUCAUUAUUACAGCAACCGGAGGACACCGGAGGGGUGAGGCUGACACACACCGACAGUGAGAGGGGGUUAUCUGCUGGAUACUGACAGGGUUGGUAGAUCUGGAUCCAGAGCCAGACUCCAGGGUGGAAGGGGGAGGCCAGGCCCGACCAACUUCAGGACGAGACCAUGGAAGCCUCGUCCGGCUUCGUAGCUCCUCGCUGGAGAUCAAGGAGAAAGAAAUCAGAGAAAAGGGCUCCGAGAUCCUCAGGGAACAGCUGGAUGCUGCAAAGAAGGAACUGAAACUCAAGGACCGAGAGUGUGAGCGUCUGUCUCAGGUCAGGAAUCAGCUGGAGCAGGAGCUGGAGGAGCUGACAGCCAGUCUGUUUGAGGAAGCUCACAAGAUGGUGAAUGAAGCCAACGUCAAACAAGCAACAGCAGAGAAGCAGUUAAAAGAAGCUCAAGGAAAGAUUGAUGUCCUUCAAGCAGAGGUGACGGCGCUGAAGACUCUAGUGUUGACCUCGACACCUUCUUCACCGAAUCGCCAGCUGCAUCCACAGCUGCAGUCUCCUGGAACCAGAGGAGCGCACAGACACAUCCGUAACAAGAGCGCGAGCGGUGGCUUUCCACCUUCACCUGGAAAACUAGACCCUUCAUCAGGGUCUACACAGCCUGGAACCAAAGAGGACAGAGAGAUGGACUCUAUCCUGUAUGCAGAGUUUUUGAUGUGGAAGGAAAAGACGAGUCUCGACCGCUCCUCUGCCUUCAUGAGUCGCAUCUACAGAGAAGACGUUUGCCCCUGCCUCUCCUUCACCAGAUCUGAGGUCAGAAUCUCCCUGCCCCUCUGUGUCAUGAGCAGUGUUAAUUUUGUUAAUGAAAUUAUGACGAUAAAUGUUUGCCAAAAGACUCAUUUUUUCAUGACGAAAACGAGACUAUGACGCGCUAAAGUGCAUCACAUCAACUCUGAUGAAAAUAUGUUUUGAUUUUGUUGACGAGAUGAUGACGAGACGAAAACAGUAGUGGCCGACCGUCGGACAUUCAAAAUCCAUAUUUUCCUCGCUGUGCGUCUAAUCUUUAGAAAUAAAAGGGAUGCAUUCCUGUGACAGGCUGAGUUAUUAUUUGAGGGUUAGCAGCUUGGUCUCUACCUGCAGCAGUUGUGCUUUAUGAACCAGCUCUCCUCACCUCCAUGCAUCUGUCUCAUCUUCAUUGAUGAUUUUUACCCUCGGUGUGCUAUAGUGACAAAGACACAACCGGGGGACGUCUGUUUAAUAUUUGAUGUUUGCCGCUAUUACCGUAAAAAGCUCAGCGUGUAGAGCUUGAUUUAUUCCAGUUUGGUGAAACAUCAGACACCUUUAGUAAGUUUUGAUCAACUCCUAGUCAUCAAAGAUGCAGCUGCAUUUCUUUCAGAGUGCCGUGAAGUGACUGACUGUCCACUGCACCUGUCACUGCAGGUACAUUCAAGGACUGUCGUAAAUGUGCAAUAUAGUCCUUUAAUGGCAUUUUUUUGUGAGUCAAGAGAAUCAAAAUACAGUCACAGUGGUCACAUCAAGAAUGUUUUCUUUUGACAUUUUAGCAGGGCCAGGCUGAAUUAUUUAACUUAAGAUAUUACAAAAGCAAAAGUGUUAAAGGAGUGACGGAGGAUGAUUUUAACACUUGGUAUAAGAUAAGAUAAGAUAAGAUAAGAUACUCCUUUAUUCGUCCCACAACGGGGCAAUUCAUGGAGUUACAGCAGAAAACAAAAAGUUGUACAGUACAAGAAUUUAACAAGAAUAUAUAUAGAAAAGAAAUGUUCAUCAGAGACGACAGCUUGGCCAUAAUUCUCCUGUCAGCCACCACCUCCACAGGGUCCAGGACUGAGCUGGCCUUCUUCACCAGUUAGUUCAGUCUUGCUCUCCUGUAUCCUGUCCGCCCACAGCAGGUGAAAUCCUUCCAAUGUGGCAUUCGUGUCUGGUGUUAGCUCUGUUAGCAUGAUGCUACUCUGCCAGUAUUCCCUCUGGUGCUGGGUUAGCUCGUCCACCUUAUCGUAGAUAGAUCUUACAUUCCCCAUAAAGGUGGGUGGAAGGACAGGUUGAUGUCGUCUUUUCUUAGCUUGCACCUCAGUACCAGCACGUCAUCCUUGAACAUAUAUAACCCUGUUACCAAUAUCUGAUUGACUACAUAAAUUAUUCAAAGAGUGAAGAUGUUUCGGCAAAAAUCAAAGACUAAAAUGUUUUGAGUUUCCGCUGACUAAAACUAGACUAAAACUAUAAAGGGCCGAAAAGACUAAAAUGUGACUAAAGCUAACAGACAUUUUCGCCUAAAGACUAAGUCUAAAUCUAAAAUAGCCGCCAAAAUUAACACUGGUCAUGUGUUUGUACUUCACAGUCUGCAGAAGUGUUAACAUAACUGAUUAGUGCCAUCCACAGCUCUCGCAGCUGGUGCAGAGUGCAGUGGAAAACAACUCUCUGACAAUCGAGCCUGUGGCUAUGUCAGCAUUACCGAUGGUUAAAGCCUCAGCUGUUGAGUGUGGAGGUCCAAAGUGAGUCAUCAAAUCUACAUCAUAACUUGGAUCCAGUUUCUCUCACCAUUCACUGCUAAACUCUUGUUAGGUUUGGUUUUCUCCUUUGAUGAUUAAUAGUUGUAGCAAAGUUUUCACUGUCUUACCACAAAUCUGUGAGGGGUUUAAUCAGCGGGCACAUUUCUCAUCACUGUCUGAUUUCUAAAUAUUUUUCUUCCAGUGGCUUUAGGGCAGCAAUAGAGACAAAAUGUGCGCUGAGCGGUAUGUCACGCCUCUGCAGACAUCGCAUCAAACUUGGAGACAAGGGGAGCUAUUAUUACAUUUCUCCUUCCAGUCGAGCACGGAUCACAGCUGUUUGCAAUUUCUUUACGUAUAUCCGCUACAUCCAGCAGGGCCUGGUGAGACAUGAUGCAGAGCAGAUGUUCUGGGAGGUGAUGCGUCUCCGCAGGGAAAUGACUGUGGCCAAGUUAGGUUUCUACCCCACAGACCAGGGCUAAAGGAUCUGACUGUAAACACUAGGCAGGGUAGUGUGAGUCUCGGUAAAACUGUGUUAACAAACUCGUCUGGGAUCAGUUGUUGUAGAGGAUUGAACAGUAUCAAUGCUGCAGCAGAGGUCAAUCAACAAGGGAGGUAGAUAAUGUGUAUAUUUUAUUGUUUUGCAAUAUGAUGAAGAAUUGAACCAGCACAGGUAGAGGGAACACCUGAUUUUAAGGUGAAAAUACUCACUGGUAUGUUUUUUCACUGAAGUGUAUCUCCUCAGUGACCCUCACAUAAGAGACUUGUCUGUUUGUGAACGCUGCACCUCCCCAGAGGAGUUCCCUCAGUUGAAAAACAUAAUAUUCUAUGCAUCAUGUGGACAUGAUGAGUAACGAAGGUUUAAGGCAGCCUUCAGAGAUUUUAUACCUCACACAUCACAAACUUAUAUCACUAAGUAAUGAUGUAGCUCUGUUGUAAGAUUGCCAAUAUCCAUGCAGCUUUCUUAGCGAUUGAUGGAUUCAUUUUUUCACUGUCAUACUCAGACAUUUCGUUGUAAAUUUUUGUUAGACUUUUUGUUACAGCAUGGCCUUCACUUUGUCUUUACCCUUCCUGCUUUAAGCGCCUCUUAUAAAAACACAAUGCCGCCUCUUGCUUGAGGCUAAACAUCUUCACGUUAGCCCGGCUUGAUAAUCUGAUGUAUUAAUAACAAACCAGCGAUGACACCUCCACACUUCAGAGUCACAGUUUUGUAAAGUAGACAGAAAAAACUUAAAACACGUGAUGCAAUACUCAUAACUGUUAAUGUAGUUUUGCACGUCUGCAGAGCAGUAUGUAUAUACAUUAAAAGCCAUAAAUGACUUUGCAUGAAUGCAGUAAAUAGCCAUAAUUACGCAAUGCAUUUUGAUUGUACCUCACAGUAUAGAUUUAAUAUCAUGAAUGGACAGUUUGGACAGAAAACUGUGUCUUGAAGUUAAAAAUGAAGACUUUUGUUUCAGAAAGUGCAAUAUCUGCUUCUCCGCCCCCUGUAGGGCCUCCGGGUUCCUGACCUCAGAGUACUGGUAAUUAACUGUGUCUCUGGUGUAAACACUCCAUUAAAGACGAGCCAGUGUAGACUCUCUUUGUCACCUU